rnacentral:rRNA from 1 species
AUUGAACGCUGGCGGCAGGCCUAACACAUGCAAGUCGAACGAGUGGCGGACGGGUGAGUAAUGUCUGGGAAACUGCCCGAUGGAGGGGGAUAACUACUGGAAACGGUAGCUAAUACCGCAUACCAUCGGAUGUGCCCAGAUGGGAUUAGCUAUUAGGUGGGGUAACGUCUCACCUAGACGACGAUCCCUACCUGGUCUGAGAGGAUGACCAGGCAAACUGGAACGGAGACCGGGUCCAGACUCCUAAGGGAGGCAGCAGUGGGGAAUAUUGGACAAUGGGCGCAAGCCUGAUGCAGCCAUGCCGCGUGUAUGAAGAAGGCCUUCGGGUUGGAAAGGACUUUCAGCGAGGAGGCGUUAAUCGCAGAAGAAGCACCGGCUAACUCCGUGCCAGCAGCCGCGGUAAUUC